AUUUCAAGCGUGCGAAACGACGCGUCGUAACUACUAUAGAUUCGGUGCGCGAAAUAUCGUUUCAGAAAUAUUCAGUUCCUCGUUUAAAGAUUUGAAAAUACCUUGAACCGAGACGCUAACAAGAGACCGGCCGCCUUGCGAUUUUAAUUUCCUUCAGUCGUCUGUGUUAGUGUGGGAAGCAACGUGUUUCUACGAUUCUUGGAACGUUGUUCGAGCAACCACGAGGACAGAUGUUACGUAUGUGACGUCAUUAGAAUUCCUGACUGGCUACCGAUAGAAAGACUAUCAUCUUGAAAGUGUCAAUUCUGUGACGACUGUUGUAUCGCCUUUUGUUACGUUAAUUUUAUCUUCUUCCUUUUUCUUUUUACUCACUAUUCUCGUGUCAGCUUGAUUUUCUCUGUCCCGUCCUAUGCAGUAGGGCCAGGACGAUGUCGAAGACGGAUAAUGUCGAUUUUUAACGAGAAAUUAAAACGGAUCGUGGUCUCGUCACCGACAUUCGCGUUAUCGUGGCUGGCGAAUUCACGUGUUACGUAAAUCUGAACAAGAUCCGCGCAUCUUUAACCAAUUAGCGAGCCUCGUUUUUAUCGUGCCGUCACGGUUCACGAAAAAGUCAUUGACAAAAUUUUGUCAGCGAGAUUUCGUUCGUUUUGCAGCGUAGAAAUUUUUCAACGAAACAGCGGGAAGUCGAUGAAUUUUCAUACAAUUGCAACGAGAAACCGGCGUCGAGGAUCUUUCGAAAUUGUUUUAUAUCGAUAGCGGAGAAUUUCGAUCCUUUUAUCGCGCAUGGUUGUCGAGCGAAAACGUCGCUUGGAAAUUUCCUUCUAUAAAACAGAUUCGGAUCGUGCAACAAGCGGAAUGACUUACGCCGAUGUUGCAUAAUUCAAUAACAUCAAAAUAUGGAGAAAGUGAUUAUUAUUUGUUAUCAUCGUUAUCUACGAGGCAGGACUGAAUUAAAAUUUCUGGGGCCCGAGGUUAUCAAACCCUUACCGGGCCCCUGUAAAGUAGGGUCCGAGGUUGUAACCCCCUUAGACCUCCCCUUCAUUCAGCAUUGAGUCGAAGCAAAAUACCAAUUAAAAUUAAUACUGAAUAUUCAGUACUUAAUAUUAAUAUUCUAUAUUUUAUUUUAAUAUUAAAUAAUUCAAACUCAAGUAGCUGUGAAUGGAUGCUGGUAGCAUUAACCAAACAGUAAUCAUAGGUGCGGAGAAAAGCGUCAAAGGAAGGGAAUGAUGAUGACACAGGAGGCACAAUUGAUUGCCGAUUAUAUGCGUGAUCCUUUUGCUUUGUCGAGCAAAUCGUUCUUGAAACUUUAGCUAUGACCGACUGGAUCAAAGUUUCCGCGUUCCUGAAUCGCACCCGAUUAUUCAGCAACAAGAUCAGAGAGUGCAUAGCAUUCCAAGAGUCGCUGAAUUCCAAACUUGUUCGAUUAUUGUCGAAUAAUCCUUUCAAUCAUUUUUUGUUACUAUUUUAUGUACAUAUAAUAAAGCUUAU